GAGAGGAGGUACUUGGUUUGGCCACUUUAACCGUCAAUUUUGACAAGGUAUGUUAAUUGUAUGGAUGAGUAAACUUCUAUGUGCUGGCAAACACAUAGACUUCCUGCAAGACUACAAAACAAAAGCCUGCAAAAGGAGAAAGGCAGAGAGAGGAAGAGGUGAGCAGUUCAGGGUGAUGAACAUCUGGUCGCAACUUUCCUUUGAGACUCACAGCAGUUGCAGCUACUGUAAACCUGACAAGCAGUCCAACAGCAGUGAGACCAGGGCACUUGAAAUGGACUGGUAAUGAAAUAAGCUGCUCAUAAAACAUUGAGACACAUCAGGACAAGACUGACCAGGGAGUUUCAGCACUUUGGUGAUGAUCUCUACAUGCGACACAACACCUGUGAAGAUGCUGCCUGAAGCUGUGACAGAUAUGGACAACAUGAGAAAACCGGAGGAAGUCUUCUUGAAAAGCCAUAUUUAUUAAUCUAUGAUUUAGGAACUAUGGGUUGCUCUUGUUUUUGUGGGUGCAUCUCCACGUGACAAAAGUACUGUCAUGAUUUUAUAAGCCA